rnacentral:rRNA from 1 species
UACGUAGGGUGCAAGCGUUGUCCGGAAUUACUGGGCGUAAAGGGUGCGCAGGCCGCGCGGGCAGUCAAAUGUGUAAUCCAGGGGCUCAACCCCUGAACUGCGCUUGAUACUCCGCGCUCGAGCUUUGGAGAGGAGUCUGGAAUUCUCGGUGUAGCAGUGAAAUGCGUGGAUAUCGAAGAAGAACACUUAGGGCGUAAGGCAAGA